GCUAACAUGUGUAUGCCGAAAGAGGAAAAGUUAUAACGGUUAUGUUUUUAAAUGAUAGUCGUAAGCGUAUAGCUUUUCCCCUUUUAGUGUAUUCAUUCGAAA